rnacentral:lncRNA from 1 species
GUGCUUAAAUGUCCGACAUUUUCCCAUUUCUGCUAAUUGUGCUUAAUUUGAUCGGAAAUUCUAAUUUUAAUUAAUUUGAAUAUUCUGAGCUAAUUAUUUGCAUUAUUAUUUUCAGGGAAAAUUUUGNAAAAUACAAUUUGGGAUAUUUGGANGUUAAAUGUGAUGUUGUAUUUCAAUUGGAAGAAGUGGGCUGCAAGGUUUUUGAAGGAAAGAAGCUUAACAUGUAAAUUGGAUGGAAUCAAUUGCCUUAUUAAAUAAAAGAGGUGCAGCCCAUACAAAAGGUCCAACAGACUUGAAGAGGGNUGCGGAUNAAAAUUUAAAUUUGGANGUGCGGCCCAGCAAAAUGAGGUGUGUCCAGCAAUUGAAAGGCUGCAGCCACAAUGUCUCGGUUCAACUUUGAAGAGUGCAUGGAAAGUCCAGAUUGGGUAUUUUUUUUUGGAAGGGGACACCACUUAACAGAAAACACGAAACCCUAGGGGAGAAGUG